rnacentral:lncRNA from 1 species
CUGAAAUGAAAAAAAAUUUUAGUAGAUAGAACUGCACUGUUCUCUAAUAAUCCAGAAGAAGGUUUUAAACAACGUAAAAGUUCAGAUAAACUUAAUGUUUUGAAGAAAAAAAAUUCGCAAAUGGAGAUAUCCAAUACAUCACUAUUGUAUACAUGAGUUUCAUCUUUAAAGUUUAUAAAACAGUUAUCAUUAAUUGGCGAUAAAAAUCUAGCUGAUACAAUUGAAAAUAAUUUGCUCUUACUGCCAACAGACAAUAUUUUGUCAGAAUACAGCAUGAAUUGUCUAAAGAAGAAAAAAAAGUUUAAAGAGUUGACAAGUCUAUGUAACUCUGUCACUGAAGCUGCUUUAAAGUCAAAUAAUA